rnacentral:lncRNA from 1 species
GGCUACCUCUGCAAUCUCUCCCUUUUUACUGUUUCCAAUUAGAAACUUUGUAAGAAUCAUUUCUUGUACAUCCAUCAUUUCAAAAGUUCUCUUAAAAUGCACAAUAGGCACUUGACAACCUCGACAUUUUACUAUUAUUAUCUACACAUUAAUUGCUUGACUCUUAGUCUCCUAACCUGGUUCCUUAAGUGAGGAAAUGGACACUAACAAUCUCUAAGCUCCUCCAUUAUGUUUGAAAAUCACCAUUUAUGAACCUGCUUUAACACCCUAAGUCUCUUAGCAACUUACGGAAACCAACCUCAUUACUUUAUAAUUUACUAUGCAGCUGUAAGCCUGAGUUACUCUAAUUCAAGGAAUUCCUAUUUUUUUCUCCAGGCACUGAAAAUCCAUUUUUAAAGCAAGAGAGAUAGAAGACAAGCAAGAAAGGUGAUAGUAAGGACUUAAUUCCUGUGAUCAAUUUUAGUUUAUGUUCCAGAGUCAAGACACAUUUAAUUCAAAUUUCUACCCAGUCAACAUUUACAAUACGAUAAAGUAAAAACUGAUAUGCAGACUGAUGAUUUAUAGAUAUUGUUAGGCAAAGUAAGAGCAAAUCACGCUCAGCAGCAAUCACUGAGUGGUACUCAGUGUAUACACCAACCAAUACAUGACUCUGUUAACUGUUCUAGAUCAGACCUUCAUCACCUUACCCUGGAUUACUGUGUCAUCAACUCUGCUUCUCUAUUCUUCCUAGAAAUUGCUUUUGUCAGCUUACUUGGCUGCUCAAGAAUGUAUACUAACCACUGCCCCACCCAAUGCAUUAACUACAAACCCCUCAGCUUGCUUUC